UACAGAGGGGGCAAGCGUUGUUCGGAAUUACUGGGCGUAAAGGGCGCGUAGGCGGCCUGCUAAGUCGAACGUGAAAUCCCCGGGCUCAACCCGGGAACUGCGUCCGAUACUGGUUGGCUUGAAUUCGGGAGAGGGAUGCGGAAUUCCAGGUGUAGCGGUGAAAUGCGUAGAUAUCUGGAGGAACACCGGUGGCGAAGGCGGCAUCCUGGACCGAUAUUGACGCUGAUGCGCGAAAGCCAGGGGAGCAAACGGG
rnacentral:rRNA from 1 species